rnacentral:misc_RNA from 1 species
UCCGGUUUGGCACCGGCAGUCUCCCAUGAGUCCCCGGCAUUACCCGCUGGCAACAUGGAACAGGGGUUGCGCUCGUUGUGGGACUUAACCCAACAUCUCACGACACGAGCUGACGACAACCAUGCACCACCUGUACGCAGCCCUUGCGGACCCGACAUCUCUGCCGGAUUUCUGCGUAUGUCAAGCCCAGGUAAGGUUCUUCGCGUUGCGUCGAAUUAAACCACAUGCUCCGCUGCUUGUGCGGGCCCCCGUCAAUUCCUUUGAGUUUCACCGUUGCCGGCGUACUCCCCAGGUGGAUUACUUAGCGCUUUCGCUUGGCCGCGUACUGUAUAUCGCACACAGCGAGUAAUCAACGUUUACAGUGUGGACUAC